rnacentral:tRNA from 1 species
UCCGCGGUAGCUCAGUGGUAGAGCGGCGCUCUGUUAAAGCGUUGGUCGCUGGUUCGAAUCCAGCCCGCGGAGCCA